AAGCUUAGGCAUGAGAGCCCUAUGUAAGUAGUUUUUGCCUAACCAUCUCUUAGUGUUUAUUUGAUUUUAAGUCUUACUGUUUUCUUUUGUUCAAUUUCAUUCUCGGUUCUAAUUUCUGUUUGAAUUGUAUUAUCUCUGAAAUUGAGCUUUGUGCUGUUAUGGAUGUCUGAAUUUCUCAUUUUUGUCACCUGGUUUUCAGCUUAUGCAUUCAUCAUGCUAUCGUUGCUUAAAAUGGGAGUCAUAAGGAAAACAGAACAAUUUAGGAAACUGUGCUUGUACUCAGUCUUAUAGGAUGGUUGCUGUUAUAUCAUUUGGUGGCCUUAAUGAAGAUUGAUAGAGGAAAGAAUUGAUGUUUAAAUCAUGAUUGGGGUUUUCUCGAACAGGCUAGUUUUCCUUGAAAAUCAAUAAUGGUGUUUCUGGUGUGACAUUUGUGUUCUUUUUGUAGUGACCAUAGGUGGAAUGUGUUGGAAACGUUGUGUAGGUUCUAUUUACAUCUCAGUUUACUUAACAAUUGCUAUGUGUUUCUGAAUAACGUCUUUAGUUUUUUAAGUUGUUAGUCUUUAAUUAUGAGAACAGUUACAAGGAUCUUGAUGAUAUAUGCAUAACUAAUUGAGGGAAGUAAAGUAUGAUCUAAUUAUUUUCGAAUCAUAAUUACUAUAACUGUUUUUGGAAGUGUUCAUAUCCUCCACUCACAAAAUCUGCACAUCACAUGGGGAAGUGGUCCUUCCAUAUAUGGCACAGUCCUUUCCCUUAGUAAUUAUUCAAUAAAUCCAUGGAGAUAUCCUAUAACUAUUAUAUAUGCUGACAUAUACUUGAAGCUUUCUUAAUUAGAAUUUCUGUGCAAUUAUCAUGUCAUUUAGCAUUUAGGUCUAUAUCGUGAAAUUAGGGGAACUAAUUUUGUAACACAAAAGUCUAAUUACCUGUAUGCUGCAGGUUCAUCACUAUCAAAUCGCAUGAUAAUAUGAUUUGGCUGAAAUAUAAAAUUUUUCAUUACCCUUUGUAAAGAAUCUAAUGGAAAUUUCAGAAUUGAUUAUAUCUACUAUGAUAUCUAGAUUCUCUUUCAUAACAGGAUUUUGAAUUGGGAAGAUGGGUA
rnacentral:misc_RNA from 1 species